GUCACAAGACUAGGGGAACUCAGCUUUCUGCAGCGCGCAAGUACUGCUGGGAAAUCAAGUAGCUACUUACGGCUUGUGUGGCCAGCCAGGAAGGAGACUCAAGCUCGGUGGAAAAUCCGUGGUAACUUUCUCAGGUCUCCCCACAGCCCUGUCACCAAAUCUAAAGGCCUAAUCGUUGAGCUAUGUCUAGAGAGCAGGAACCAGAGUCUUCUGAAGCAGAGUGCGAUGCAAGAGGCCACCCAGAGUUAGAAGAUAAGGAACACUGGCAUUACCCAGAUAAUAAUACCCACAAGCAGGAGGAUACAUCCUUAUUGAACCGUGGGGAAUCGUUUCUUCACCAACAAGAUGAUCUUCAAGAGAAGAAGGUUAGCAGUGCUGAAGGUAGAGACUUCUGUGAGAGGGUACCCAUAGAGGAAGAAGAUGACAUCAGCAAUAGCGACAGUGAUAGUGAUGAUAAUGUGACAAUCAUUAUUGGCAGCAUAAAAACAAACCCCUUCAUUUUCAUGGAGGAGCUCACAAAUCCAAAUGCACAAGUAAACAAAGACCUGAAAACAUCUACAUCAGGUAUUGCUGAGAUGAAACUAAAUGUGAAAUGAAGUAAAUCUGUUUCAAAAGGCACUUAAUGUCACCUGCAGAGGAAAUGAAAAAACCAACAAGUGAAGUGGUAAUCAUUAUUCCAAAUAGAAGCAUCUAUAAUGUCAAGCUAUUGUGUUAAAUUCUGGGCAGAAAAUAAAAAAAAUACCUUGAAAGAAG
rnacentral:lncRNA from 1 species